AUGGGCGGGCUCGAGGAGAUCAGGAACGAGGCCGUCGAUCUGGAGAACAUCCCCAUCGAGGAGGUGUUCGAGCAGCUGAAAUGCACGCGCCAGGGGCUCACCUCCGAUGAGGGGGCGCAGCGUGUUGAAAUCUUCGGCCUCAACAAGCUCGAAGAGAAGAAGGAGAGCAAAGUCCUCAAGUUCCUGGGAUUCAUGUGGAACCCCCUCUCCUGGGUCAUGGAGAUGGCCGCCAUCAUGGCCAUUGCGCUGGCCAACGGUGGUGGGAAGCCCCCGGAUUGGCAGGAUUUCGUUGGAAUCAUCGUUCUCCUGGUCAUCAACUCCACCAUCUCCUUCAUUGAAGAGAACAACGCCGGCAACGCCGCUGCUGCGCUCAUGGCCAACCUUGCGCCCAAGACAAAGGUGCUUAGGGAUGGUCGAUGGGGCGAGCAGGAGGCAUCAAUCUUGGUUCCUGGUGACAUUGUCAGCAUCAAGCUCGGUGACAUCGUGCCUGCUGAUGCUCGUCUCCUCGAGGGUGAUCCUUUGAAGAUUGAUCAGUCUGGACUUACAGGAGAGUCUCUCCCGGUGACCAAGAACCCUGGGGAUGAGGUCUUUUCUGGAUCAACGUGCAAGCAGGGUGAGAUUGAGGCUGUGGUCAUUGCCACUGGAGUACACACUUUCUUUGGCAAGGCUGCUCAUCUCGUUGACAGCACCAACCAAGUCGGGCACUUCCAGCAGGUCCUCACUGCAAUCGGAAACUUCUGCAUCGUCUCGAUCGCAGUGGGAAUCGUCAUUGAGAUCAUUGUCAUGUUCCCGAUCCAGCGCCGCAAGUACCGUGCCGGUAUUGAGAACCUGUUGGUCCUCUUGAUCGGUGGUAUUCCGAUUGCCAUGCCUACUGUUUUGUCGGUCACCAUGGCCAUUGGUUCUCACAAGUUGUCCCAGCAGGGUGCUAUCACCAAGAGGAUGACUGCCAUUGAAGAGUUGGCUGGCAUGGAUGUGCUUUGCAGUGAUAAGACUGGCACACUCACCCUUAACAAGCUCAGUGUUGACAAGAACCUGGUUGAGGUGUUUGCGAAAGGUGUCGACAAAGAACAUGUGCUGUUGUUGGCUGCAAGGGCUUCAAGGGUUGAAAACCAGGAUGCCAUUGAUGCUUGCAUGGUUGGUAUGCUUGCUGAUCCUAAGGAGGCAAGAGCUGGCAUCAGGGAAGUGCACUUCUUGCCAUUUAACCCAACUGACAAGAGGACUGCUCUGACUUACAUCGAUGCUGAGGGUAACUGGCACCGUGCCAGCAAGGGUGCUCCAGAGCAGAUUAUUACCCUGUGCAACUGCAAGGAGGAUGUGAAGAGAAAGGUGCACUCUGUGAUUGAGAAGUACGCUGAGCGUGGGCUUCGUUCGCUUGCUGUUGCAAGACAGGAAGUACCUGAGAAAUCCAAGGAUUCUCCUGGUGGACCAUGGCAAUUCAUUGGUCUGUUGCCCCUGUUUGAUCCCCCAAGACAUGACAGUGCUGAGACCAUCCGCAAGGCACUUGUUCUUGGUGUCAACGUCAAGAUGAUCACAGGUGACCAACUUGCUAUUGGAAAGGAGACUGGUAGGAGGCUGGGGAUGGGCACAAACAUGUAUCCUUCUUCUGCAUUGCUUGGCCAAAGCAAGGACGGUUCACUUGAGUCACUUCCUGUUGAUGAGCUGAUUGAGAAGGCUGAUGGAUUUGCCGGAGUCUUCCCUGAGCACAAGUAUGAGAUUGUGAAGAGGCUGCAAGAGAAGAAGCACAUUGUUGGUAUGACUGGAGAUGGUGUCAAUGAUGCUCCUGCUCUUAAGAAGGCCGACAUUGGUAUUGCUGUCGAUGAUGCUACAGAUGCUGCUCGAAGUGCUUCCGACAUUGUGCUUACCGAGCCAGGUCUCAGUGUCAUUAUCAGUGCUGUCCUGACCAGCAGGUGCAUUUUCCAGAGGAUGAAGAACUACACGAUCUAUGCCGUUUCCAUCACCAUCCGUAUUGUGCUUGGCUUUAUGCUUAUUGCCUUGAUCUGGAAAUUUGAUUUCGCUCCCUUCAUGGUCCUUAUCAUUGCCAUUCUCAAUGAUGGUACUAUCAUGACAAUAUCCAAGGACAGAGUUAAGCCAUCUCCCUUGCCCGACAGCUGGAAGCUCAAUGAAAUCUUCGCCACUGGUGUUGUGCUCGGAACCUACCUUGCCCUGAUGACUGUCGUCUUCUUCUGGGUUAUCCACAAGACAGACUUCUUCACAAACAAAUUCGGUGUCAGGUCAAUCAGGGACAGCGAGUUUGAGAUGAUGUCUGCACUGUACCUCCAAGUCAGUAUUGUGAGCCAGGCUCUUAUAUUCGUGACUCGUUCACGUAGCUGGUCCUUUGUUGAGCGCCCUGGUUUCCUCUUGGUUACCGCCUUCCUUCUCGCACAAUUGGUUGCAACACUCAUCGCUGUCUAUGCCAACUGGGAGUUUGCAAGGAUCAAGGGAAUCGGGUGGGGCUGGGCUGGUGUUAUCUGGCUCUUCAGCAUUGUGUUCUACUUCCCACUUGACAUUUUCAAGUUCUUCAUCCGAUUUGUGCUUAGUGGAAGGGCCUGGGACAACCUCCUGCAGAACAAGACUGCUUUCACCACCAAAGAGAACUACGGCAAAGGGGAGAGGGAAGCACAAUGGGCUACUGCACAGAGAACACUCCAUGGCCUUCAAGCACCCGAGCCGGCCUCCCACACACUGUUCAACGACAAGAGCAGCUACCGUGAGCUCUCUGAGAUCGCUGAGCAAGCCAAGAGAAGAGCUGAGAUUGCAAGGUUGAGGGAGCUCAACACACUCAAGGGCCACGUUGAAUCCGUGGUGAAGCUCAAGGGCCUUGACAUCGACACCAUCAACCAGAACUACACCGUGUGA
rnacentral:rRNA from 1 species